UAAUUCCGUGCCAGCAGCCGCGGUAAUACGGGAGUGGCAAGCGUUAUCCGGAAUUAUUGGGCGUAAAGCGUCCGCACGCGGUUUUACAAGUCUGUCGUUAAAGCGUGGAGCUCAACUCCAUUUCAGCGAUGGAAACUGUAAGACUCGAGUGUGGUAGGGGCAGAGGGAAUUCCCGGUGUAGCGGUGAAAUGCGUAGAUAUCGGGAAGAACACCAGUGGCGAAAGCGCUCUGCUGGGCCAUAACUGACGCUCAUGGACGAAAGCCAGGGGAGCGAAAGGGAUUAGAUACCCCUGUAGUCCUGGCCGUAAACGAUGAACACUAGGUGUCGGGGGAAUCGACCCCUCCGGUGUCGUAGCCAACGCGUUAAGUGUUCCGCCUGGGGAGUACGCACGCAAGUGUGAAACUCAAGGAAUUGACGGGGGCCCGCACAAGCGGUGGAGUAUGUGGUUUAAUUCGAUGCAACGCGAAGAACCUUACCAGGGCUUGACAUCCUGCGAAUCCCUUGGAAACAGGGAGUGCCUUCCGGAGCGCAGAGACAGGUGGUGCAUGGCUGUCCUCAACUC
rnacentral:rRNA from 1 species